rnacentral:tRNA from 1 species
GGGGUUGUGGCUCAGUGGUAGAGCAUCAGCUUGGCACGCAGACAGACGGAGGUUCGAUUCCCGGCAUCUCCA